UUUUUUUUUUGGUGGCCGGCCACCCAGGGUUGAGCGACGGGGGAGGCCGACGCACAACCAAGGCGUGCCCGAGCUGCCAGCCAGUACACGUAUAUAGGUGCUCAUGUGCCGUCCUGUUGCAAUUGCAACUCCCACGAGGUGCUACCGCGCCGUGCCGUGCCAUGCUGAGGUGAGGUCCAGCUCCGUGUUCCCAUGGAUCCACCCAACACCCAACACAACUAACCCGGGUGUGCCCGCAUUCACUUUCCAGCUGCCGCGUACCUCGUACGUACGAACGGAACAGCGUCACGCGCGCGCUCGAUGCCCGGCGACACACACGAGGCCGGGCGCCAUUACGGACCCGUAAAUUGUCCGUUGUAGAAGAUCUCCGUGCAAAAGUCCCAACGUACGCGCCGCCGCUUCGGCCGGUCCUGUAAGAGACGAGGCUCGCCGUCCGUCCACCGAUCCAUCCAUCCACACCGCCAGCACCGGCGUUCCGAUAGAUGGAUGGAUAGGGAUUAGGGAUGGCGCCACCACCGCCUCAGUAGUCACCACGCACACACGAAACGAGCCCCUUCCCGUCUCCGGCUAGCGUCCACGCCCCGGCACACGGUGGACGCGCCGCACCCCCGGACCAGGACACGGAGGAAAGGAAAGCGCGCGUGACCACGAGCCGAUCCCCCGCGCAUCUCAUCCGUCAGGAACCUUAUCGCCGCCGCCCCCUUUGCCGCCACACCACACGUCGCGGAGCCAAAAGGCACCCACGGACCCAGAGCGUCGGCGUGGGCGCGCCGGUGGCAUCACGCGAUACGAUUGCCAUCGCCAAGUCACCACCCAGCCAGGAUCCAGCCAUCGUGCAAGAUACACUCGGCUAUCACGGCUCGAUGCACGCCGUCAAAGGGGCCAGUAGAGUAGACACUAGAGUUAAGUAGUACCCAAGCCCGUGCGUCGACUGUUCCGCGCUGCAUAAACAACAAGGAAAUAAAUCUCCAACACAUGGAACCAACAAGGAGCCAAAGCAGUGUAUCGGAUCCGGAUCAAGCGACCUCGCAGGGAUUUUUAACUCCUGCACGAACUGCCCACCGGAGUACGUACUAGAUUACCACCACGACCGUAGCAUUACCAGCAUCUGCAUACGGGAAUGGUCAAGCUAAUCACAAAAUUAGCAGAUCUCCUCAUCAGUCCUGGAAGUAAUCUCUCACAGGUUGCAUUACAGAUCUCCUCAUCAGUCCUGGAAGUAAUCUCUCACAGGUUGCAUUACAGAUCUCAUUCUGGGUGUCAAGUGAAAACAGCUUCAUCAUACUACACAAGCAAAAUGAGGUAAAGUCCAUCAAUCCUGGGAGGAAUCUCCAUUACAGAUUGGAUUCGAGAAGCAAAAGCACACACCACUAGCUCAGCAAGCAUCAGGAAUUCAGGAUACAUACGGAUGAGCAGCUAUGAAAAUCAGCAAGGGUACUAGAUUACCACCACGACCUCAGCAUUACUAGUAGUGUCUAUCAACACCAAUGGUCAAACAAUAACAAAAUUACCUCAAGGACAGCACAUGAUACAUACAAAUAAGCAUCCAGGCAGAGCAUUCAUCAGCGGUUAAGCAAGUACUACGAUGCAAUAUUAUCAAAGAGAGCAGCAAGUGGAGACUCAACUAUCUUUUUCAGCAUAGUACUAGGGGUACAAUGCCAAAUGUCCGGCUCAUCAUCAAUCACGAAUGAAUCCCACGAACUACAUUCCAGAAGCCGAAAACAUCCAUAAGCAGUUCAGCAACAAGUACGAUACAUACAAAUGAGCUGGUAAGACUAAAACCCAUCUCAAAGAUGGCAGAGGGUGAUAUAUAAUGCCCCCCCCAUAAUACCACUAGAAGCAACAGCCACAAGACUUGUCUUGAGCUAGCUACAAUGUCUGGACCAACAUUGACAGAUAACAUAAACAAGAGCAACUUAACAUAACCAGCAGCUACUAUAACUUAUCACAAUGUAACCUACUAUCAAAAAUACUCUCACCAUAACGCUAAUGUGCUCGGGAAAACAGACACCGUCUUGGGCACGAGCUGGUUGAGCUGCCCGGGGAAAAACCCAAGAGGAUCCUCCUCCUCCCUCCCAAUGCACACCGAUUACACUCACACGAGGCCGGUCCAUCACACCAGCAUUACUUAAGAGAUAGUAAAACCUUAAACCUCUCCCAAUUCAGACGCAGAAAUCGACGGUUUGCAGGAAAUCAUCCAUGCCUCGGCCAAAGUCGCAGCCGGGCAUCUCCAGGAAGUCAUCGCCGAUGUCAAGGUCCAUGUCCAGCUCCAGCUCCUCGUCGGCCAAGUCGCCGAGCAGCAGGUCCUGUUCGCCGUCCAAAUAAGCCGACGCCUCCGAGACGUCCAAGGCAUCAAGCCCCGCGCGGAAGUCCAUCGGGUCAAUGUCCGGCAGCUGAAGCCCACGCAGGAGGUCCUGGUAGAACUCUGGGUCGUCGGGAAGCUGCGCUGUCUCGGGUGUGGUGGACACCAUGACGGGAACUGGUGUCGGCUCAGGCGAAAUGGACUCAGCUGCCAGCUUGGUGGCUUCCAGAACAGAAGACGGUGACGGGUGCGCGAAUGGAGCAGCCGAGGUGGAGGACGACGAAGAUGCCGUCGGUGUGGAAGACGACGCCGGUGAGGACGUGGCCGACUGAGCAGGUGAGGCCGCGGCACCGGACUGGCCACGGCGGCGACGCUUCUCCUCGAUAAAGCUUCGGGAGGCGGCCUGGUAGGCAGCAGAGGCCAGGUCGGCAGUGUCGAAGGUGCCAAGCCACUCCCUCUUGCCGGAGAAGGGGUUGCGGAUCUCGGCCGCCCAUUUGCCCCACUUGCGGAGGCGCACCCCACGGUGCGCCUCGGCGCUGGCGCUGCUGGUGGUGCAGACAGCCGCAGCAGCCGCGGCCGCCGGAGUGACCGGCUUGGCAAACACCUUUGCCGCCGGGGCCUUGCCGAGGAACAGCUCGAAGCAGCGCUUGGAGGAGGCAGGGGCGGCGGCAGCCUCCUCGUCGUCGGUGUCCGAGUCGGUGGCGUCGGGGUCCUCGUACAGGACACGCACGCGUCGCCUGGGCGGCUGCGCGGCCGGCAGCGACGGCAGCAUCUGCGGCUGCGCCGGCUUGGAGAAAGCG
rnacentral:lncRNA from 1 species